rnacentral:lncRNA from 1 species
GGACAGGCCCAGGCUCAGAGCCAGGAGGCCACCCCCUGAGGUGUGGUCCCCUAGGGCGGAGAGUGACUCAGGCCCCGCCCGCCUGCCCCAGCCUCCCUGCUGCCUGGGUUUGGUUUGUUUAAGAACAAAUUAGUCAUGGAGCAGGCAGCUUUCCCGAAAAUAAAAUGAGAAUCCCCAGGAAACAGGGAAAAUUGAAGGCAGGCGGUGACGCUCCUGGCCUCCAUCAACUGCUUCACAUGAAAGUGGGUCUCAGUGUCCUCACCUACCUUGGUGCCUUCCUUCCCAGUGCCUGCUGCCAGCCAUCAGAGAUGGGAAGCCGCUCCCGUGGUCCAUCUUCAUGA